rnacentral:rRNA from 1 species
AUUGAACGCUGGCGGCAUGCUUUACACAUGCAAGUCGAACGGCAGCGCGGGCUUCGGCCUGGCGGCGCGUGGCGAACGGGUGAGUAAUGCAUCGGAACGUGCCCAGUAGUGGGGGAUAGCCCGGCGAAAGCCGGAUUAAUACCGCAUACGACCUGAGGGUGAAAGCGGGGGACCGAAAGGCCUCGCGCUAUUGGCGCGGCCGAUGUCGGAUUAGCUAGUUGGUGGGGUAAAGGCUUACCAAGGCGACGAUCCGUAGCUGGUCUGAGAGGACGACCAGCCACACUGGGACUGAGACACGGCCCAGACUCCUACGGGAGGCAGCAGUGGGGAAUUUUGGACAAUGGGGGCAACCCUGAUCCAGCCAUGCCGCGUGCGGGAAGAAGGCCUUCGGGUUGUAAACCGCUUUUGUUCGGGAAGAAAACCUCUGGGCUAAUACCCCGGGGGGAUGACGGUACCGGAAGAAUAAGCACCGGCUAACUACGUG